UUUGUUGUGGAGUACCGAGGUGAACUGCUUACACAACAGGAGAGCGAGGUCCGAGCUGAUCAGUACAAUCAUUCUGAAAAGGUGUUUAUUUUCAAUGGAAAGGAAGAACAUGGUGCAUUGAUGCAUCUGAAGAGGACUCCUCCCUUGGGAGACUCGUUAAUGGUGAUCACGAAAAACACAAUCUCAAAAUGAAGGACAUUCGAGCAAACGAUGAGCCACACUUGUGCCUCUACGCAACUCGAGAUAUUGUAACUGCCGAAGAGUUGACUUAUAGUUACGGUGAUUCUGACUGGCCAUGGACAACACAGGUCAUCAAAGCUGAUGUGUCGUCCAGCCCAAAACCUAUGGUAAGAACUUUACUAAUGUCAUAGAUCAAUAUGAGUUUAUUUUUUCACAUUUACUAUUUCACUUUCACAAAUACACAUUUAUAGUCUAACAUCAAUUGCACUGGAAUGC